ensembl:lncRNA
CUGGGUGGCAGUGACAUGAGUAAUCAGGUGUUGCUAACCUGGCUGCCCUUUUGCUCUGCUCAUGAAUGCUUUCUGCUGCACUGGAAGCUCUUCGUUUGUUGAUCUCUCACUGCUGGGUCUUCUUUUUCCUCAACCCAACUGCUUUAUUUUUACUCAUGACAUGGAAAAGUUCCUCCUGUAUCUUUCUUGCAGCUCACCUUUUGGAAACAGAUUGACAUGGAUUGGUGGCCUUUGCUUCCUGUUCCUGAAGAGUGACUUAUGCUUGUGCUAAGAAUGAGGUGCCAAGGACAGCAACCGAAUGGCUUCAGAAUCAGGCUCCCACUCUUUUGGCCAUGGCAACAGGAGAGAAGGAUUCACAGGAACGAUCUGAACCUCAGAUAGCCUUUGGAGGAUUAUAAAAUGAAGAGGAUGAGGAGGAAGACAACUGAGGAGAGGGGGAGGAGGAAUAUUGACAAGACUGGGGCAGGUCUAAGAAAAUGAGGACAUCAAUGCAUUCAUGGACGGCAGACCAUAAUACAGAACUUGUUUUCAACUCAGGGCAGUCAAUAUUGAGCUCGGAGUACCUGGUUUUACAGGUUGGGUUGUAGAUGGUCCUCGUUCUCCAGCCAAUUAUAUCCAGAUACAGAAAUCACUCCACUCUCCCAUGGUGAAGAGUUUUGGAGAGUCCUGUCUUUCCCUACUUGCCUUUUCCCGUGCAGCUACCCUUCCUCUGUUAUGUCCAAAAGGUAUGAACUGAAUGUAGUUUCAUCAUUUUGUUUCAAGAUCCAUACCUGCUUGCUGUCACCUUAAAACUCAAUUUGGGGCUGGGGUCUUUCAGCCACUGACAAAGAAAUACCAUCACAGGUGCCUGUGGGGGUAAAAUUCUACCCACUUGAAUCCUGCUGGUUCCAGAAAAAUGUUCUGCUAUGGUUUGAAUGCACCUCCGGAAAGGUUAUGUAUUGGAAAUUCAAUCCCCAAAUUCAUAUAUUCAUGGUGUUUGGAGGUGGGGCCUUUUGGAGACACUGUAAUUAGGAUUAGAUGGGGUGAUACAGGUGGGGCUCCCAUGAUGGCCUUACUGACUUUAUGAGAAGAGGAAGAAAAACUUGAGCUGGCAUUCUUGCUCUGUCUUUCCAUGAGAUGCCCUCCACCAUGUUAUAUGCAGCACGUUAUGUAUCAUCAGAUGCUGGCACUAUCUCGAACUUAACAGCUUCCAGAACUGUGAGCUAAAUAAACUUACUAAUUAUCUGGUAUCAAGUAUUUUGCCAUAGCAACAGAAAAUAAACUAAGAUGGCAUCUGAACAGAUUCAUAUGAGAUUAGGAUAUCUUUCCUUAUUGCUCCCCAGGUCAAAAUUCAAGAAAAUCCAGCAGUGGUAAGAAAUGGGGCUUUAUUCUGGCUGUAGUCUAGUGUGUAUAUCAGGACAAGUUCUGGUGUGUCUGUCAACUCACAGAUCCUUUUGGACCACAGCUCACUGCUUUUUCUACUACCCCAGCUUUUUAUACUGCCAGGAUGAUUGUAUUUAUGGAUGUAAUGAUGCAUUCUUGCCUCAGUAACCGGGCAAAGGCCAACCCCAGUGCAUCCUGAUAGACCAAUUCCUUUGGUGUCUGGGAAGAAAAGUUUCAAAUGCUUUUCCUUCAAAAGAUGCCAGUGCUCCAGAUAUAAAUAUAUUCAUUCUAUUUGCUAAACCUUCAGGCUUCAGCAAGAGUUCUUGCAAAACAAAUAAUAAAUAUUUAAAAGUAACAUUCUAGAGUGAGAUCUUUACUUGCAUCUUCUCAUUGAGUUGCCACAGAACUGUAAGAAAUGCAUUUGCUCCACUUUCUUUAUUUUACAAAAAAGGCAAAUGAAAUCCAGAGAGGUCUGGGAGAGAAGUCACUCUCCCAAAGCCAGAUUCUUAGUAAGUGACGAAGUCUAGGGUGAAAUUUAGAUGGUGAUGGCCCUAUUUCUGUCCACUUGAAGCUGUCUCACACGUCCAUUCAGGGCUAUACUUCUGUUCCUUUUUUCCUUGUUCCUGCAGGGUUCUCAGUUCAUUAAAAGUUAAAUAAAAUCUCUAGGUCAUGUCCAGGAUUUCAACUCCAAGUGGAGGGAAAGUCUUUUUUAUUUUUAUAAAAAGUUAUGAAACAGUACACACAAAAGGAUAUAUGUACUUUAAUGAAGCAUAAUAGUUGUAUUAAUCAGGGUCUUCUAAAGAAAUAAAACCAAUAGUACAGACAGACACACACAC